rnacentral:lncRNA from 1 species
AAAGGGCAUUAGCGUGAAAUGAAACAAUGCACACGAGCUGCAGGCCACACAGUGAAUGAGGACUGCCUCGUCUCAUGCUCAGAAGCAUCGGGUUUCUGUUCAAUGUCAAGCUGUCUCAGACAGGACAUUCUGAAAACGCAAGUGAUGAGACAACCUCAUUAAAAACUUGUUAACUAUGAAGUUUGGAAAAGACGUUUCCAAAGUUGCUGCUUCAUCCUGACCUGUGGCCAGAGGGGAGCAACCAGUGGGUAGCUUCACAGGAGGGGACGGUCACACCUGGCUGCCCAGGACAAGCUCCAUGUUUGGGACAGCAAGCACACUCAAAGCAUCCACAGGUCACUGGCUAGAAAGGAAGUUUCUAGAAACAUUUCAGGCACACGGAGGGGGAUCACUCAGAGGUGAGGACACACAUAACAAGGCUCCCAAUUUGCAGACCAGGAACGUGAAGCGUCAGCUGGUCCAGCCCACUCCUAGCCCCCUCGCUUCCUACACGGCAAGGUCCCUGGGCUCAUCUCUCUUCUAUCCCCCAAAGCCAGGGAGAGCCCUGCUGGGUAACACACCCAGCCCCCCCAACACACACACACACACACACACACACUCCUGCAUGGAACCCGUUACUGGUGAAUUAAAGUCCUCUCAGUCUUCAGUGGGGAACAACCUACUGCCUUGCUGGGGGUAUGCACCCCCAGGAGUUGCAAAGUCUCCCCCCGGGGUAACAGCUGGCACCUGGCUGGCAGCACAGCCUGUGGACCGUAUCUUCCCAGGCCAAAGGGACCCACAAAAGUUACUGCUCCCUGGUGAGGGUGGAGCUGGGCCUGGCUUCCUGGAGGAGUCUGACAAGCUCAGCCACGCUUCUUUCCUCAGACUCAGCAUUCCCACAAGUUCACAGGAUGCCAGCCCAGGAAGGUUUAUCUCCACAUCACUUCAACGAAAGCAAAAAUGUAUCAUCUACAUGUAUACGCAUCAGGAACUGGCUAAAUAAAUAAUAUCACAGCAAGCUCCGCAGGCAAUGCAAACCAUCAGA